rnacentral:misc_RNA from 1 species
AAGUCGUAACAAGGUUUCCGUAGGUGAACCUGCGGAAGGAUCAUUACCAAGAACCACACAGAAAAGGGAGGCAAAGGGGCCGACAGGGCUAGUAGCUUAUACGUUGUUGAACGUCCUGCCUGGACCCGGAGCCGCCCCAUCUAAACCCUCUGCGUACCUGUCCCUUCUUGCUUCCCCCGGCACCUCGUCGGGGGGAGGUAACAACCAAAACUCUCUGUGAAUCAAACAGCCGUCAGAAUUAUAAAACAAACAAAAGUUAAAA